rnacentral:rRNA from 1 species
GAUUUCAUUAAUACUUUUACUUUUAAAAAUUUUUUAAAGUAUUUAUGGGGAGUUAUACGCUUUCGUUUUUUAGAAUAUCUAAAUUGUGGGGAAAUUAGGGAAAACCUUUUUAUUUUUCUUAUUUUUGGAAAUGGUAAUUUUUCUUUAGUAGUAAGAAAUUGUGUAAUAACUUUAAUGUUGAAAAGUAGGAAUUUUUUUUUAUUUUUUUAAAAAAUUUAGAAAUUAAUUAAUGGAUUAGUAGGAAGAUUUUUUUUGUUUUUUUUUGUUUUUUAAUAUUAAAAAAUAAUAAAUUAUUUAUGCUUACUGAUUUUUUCUUAAACUGGUUAAUAAAAUCUUAGCUAUAAAUUUUAUAGUUAUUUCUGCUCUAUGAAAAAUAAAAAUAAAUGGCUGUGAAUAUAUACACUAAGGUAGCGAAAUCAUUAGUUAUUUAAUUGGUAACUUGUAUGAAUGAAUUUUUUAGGAAAAUUAUUACUUUUUUUUCUAAAAUUAUAUAAUUGUUGAAAAUAACAAUUUUUCCUGUAAGACUAAAAGACCCUAAAAUUUUUAUAACUUGGAGAAGUAAGUUAUUUAGUUGGGGUAACAUUAAAAAGUUAAUAUUUUUAAUUAUGAUUAAUUUUUUUUUGAACUUUUUUACUGAUAAAAAGUAAAAUACUUUAGGGAUAACAGCUUUAUUAUCUUUUAGAGUUCUUAUUAUUAAGAUAGUUUUAGACCUCGAUGUUGGAUUGGAGAAACUUUUUGGGGCAG